CUGGAGGAGUCCGUGGAGCCCAGGUCAGGACCUGGCUCCAAGCCCAUCUCCAUUUGCAGAUGCCCAGGUCUUGGCAUCCCAGAGGAAACACAAGCUCCCUGGCAGAAGGGACGGCAUCUUAAAUCCAACCCCAAUGACCCACAGUCUCAUCUGAGCACCCCAGUUUGAACCAUAAAUUAUACUGUCACUGUUGGGGCUGAGUUGCUCAGGACACCUAGGAAAGUCGUUAGAGAUUGCGCUAGAAAAGAGGACAGGCUAGAAGAGGCUGCUGAUGGGGAGCGAGGGGCAUGCUUCCUGAGGAACUGUCUCGUAUUUCUGCUGACUGCAGGGUGGCAUCUCUCCUGGAUCCCCCAAAGUCUUCGGAGGUGGGCUCCAGGAUCCAGUGCAGUCCACCAUCUGCCACAUCUUCUAACUAAGUGAUGCCCCUCCAGCUCCUGGGUUGAAUGUGGUGAUGACAAAUUUCUUAUUGCCUAUGUUUGCACCAAG
ensembl:lncRNA